AUGAACGCUGGCGGCGUGCCUAAUACCUGCACGUCGAGCGAACAGAUGAGGAGCUUGCUCCUCUGACGUUAGCGGCGGACGGGUGAGUAACACGUGGAUAACCUACCUAUAAGACUGGGAUAACUUCGGGAAACCGGAGCUAAUACCGGAUAAUAUAUUGAACCGCAUGGUUCAAUAGUGAAAGACGGUUUUGCUGUCACUUAUAGAUGGAUCCGCGCCGCAUUAGCUAGUUGGUAAGGUAACGGCUUACCAAGGCGACGAUGCGUAGCCGACCUGAGAGGGUGAUCGGCCACACUGGAACUGAGACACGGUCCAGACUCCUACGGGAGGCAGCAGUAGGGAAUCUUCCGCAAUGGGCGAAAGCCUGACGGAGCAACGCCGCGUGAGUGAUGAAGGUCUUCGGAUCGUAAAACUCUGUUAUUAGGGAAGAACAAAUGUGUAAGUAACUAUGCACGUCUUGACGGUACCUAAUCAGAAAGCCACGGCUAACUACGUG
rnacentral:rRNA from 1 species